GGCCAGACUCCUACGGGAGGCAGCAGUGGGGGAUAUUGCACAAUGGGGGGAACCCUGAUGCAGCGACGCCGCGUGGGUGAAGGAGCGUUUCGGCGCGUAAAGCCCUAUCGGCAGGGAAGAAGGAGGACGGUACCUGACUAAGAAGCCCCGGCUAACUACGUGCCAGCAGCCGCGGUAAUACGUAGGGGGCAAGCGUUAUCCGGAUUUACUGGGUGUAAAGGGAGCGUAGACGGCAGUGCAAGUCUGGAGUGAAAGGCGGGGGCUCAACCCCCGGACUGCUCUGGAAACUGUACGGCUGGAGUGCAGGAGAGGUAAGUGGAAUUCCUAGUGUAGCGGUGAAAUGCGUAGAUAUUAGGAGGAACGCCAGUGGCGAAGGCGGCCUGCUGGACGAUGACUGACGUUGAGGCUCGAAAGCGUGGGGAGCAAACAGGAUUAGAUACCCCCGUAG
rnacentral:rRNA from 1 species